CCACAUGAAAAACACAUCUCCACAGCCCUUUUGAGCCCUCCUAUCUCUAGGUUUGCAAGGGAUUUGAGAAGAGAUUUGGAUUGAGAUUUUGAAACAUUGAGUGAAAGUGAGCAAAUCUUCCUUGAGCAUUCGAGUUCAUAGUGAGAAAUCUUUGUGCACCCAAGCCUCCUAGAUGGGUACGCGUUGCCUGGUGUGCGCCCAAGCUUGUCGUGUGCCACAGGUAGUUUGUGA
rnacentral:lncRNA from 1 species